UACGUAGGGGGCAAGCGUUGUUCGGAAUUACUGGGCGUAAAGGGCUCGUAGGUGGCCAACUAAGUCAGACGUGAAAUCCCCAGGCUUAACCUGGGAACUGCGUCUGAUACUGGAUGGCUAGAGUUUGGGAGAGGGAUGCGGAAUUCCAGGUGUAGCGGUGAAAUGCGUAGAUAUCUGGAGGAAUACCGGUGGCGAAGGCGGCAUCCUGGACCGACAUUGACGCUGAUGAGCGAAAGCUAGGGGAGCAAACGGG
rnacentral:rRNA from 1 species